rnacentral:rRNA from 1 species
CAGCAGCCGCGGGAAUACGGAGGGUGCAAGCGUUAAUCGGAAUUACUGGGCGUAAAGCGCACGCAGGCGGUCUGACAAGUCAGAUGUGAAAUCCCCGGGCUUAACCUGGGAACUGCAUUUGAAACUGUCAGGCUGGAGUCUUGUAGAGGGGGGUGGAAUUCCAGGUGUAGCGGUGAAAUGCGUAGAGAUCUGGAGGAAUACCGGUGGCGAAGGCGGCCCCCUGGACAAAGACUGACGCUCAGGUGCGAAAGCGUGGGGAGCAAACAGGAUUAGAUACCCCUGUAGUCCCUGUCUCUUAACA